CGCGGCCUAUCAGCUUGUUGGUGGGGUAGCGGCCUACCAAGGCAGCGACGGGUAGCUGGUUUGAGAGAACGAUCAGCCACACUGGGACUGAGACACGGCCCAGACUCCUACGGGAGGCAGCAGUAGGGAAUCUUGCGCGAUGGGCGAAAGCCUGACGCAGCAACGCCGCGUGCGGGAUGACGGCCUUCGUGGUUGUAAACCGCUUUCAGCAGGGACGAAAAUGACGGUACCUGCAGAAGAAGCCCCGGCUAACUACGUGCCAGCAGCCGCGGUAAUACGUAGGGGGCGAGCGUUGUCCGGAAUCAUUGGGCGUAAAGAGCUCGUAGGCGGUUCAGUAAGUCGGGUGUGAAAGCUCCGAGCUCAACUCGGAGAGGCCACCCGAUACUGCUGUGACUAGAAUCCAGUAGGGGAGCGUGGAACUCCUGGUGUAGCGGUGAAAUGCGCAGAUAUCAGGAAGAACACCAGCAGCGAAGGCGGCGCUCUGGGCUGGAAUUGACGCUGAGGAGCGAAAGUGUGGGUAGCAAACAGGAUUAGAUACCCUGGUAGUCCACACCGUAAACGUUGGGCACUAGGUGUGGGGAGGAAUCAACCCUCUCUGUGCCGUAGCUAACGCAUUAAGUGCCCCGCCUGGGGAGUACGG
rnacentral:rRNA from 1 species